UGGUUUAUGCCAGCUAUACAAUAUGAUGUGUCUUCGGUUGUGAUACAUAGGUCGAAGGGGUGUCAGUGGAAGCGCGGCGUGCCGCUGGUAUAUCAACGACGACAUUUCUGAGAUGAUAGACUUCCAUAGAAGAGGUACUACCCGCUGGAUCGAUUCCACCACUUCUCAUGAACAGACAAGAUGCUGAGCAUGCACACAUAGAUACAGUCAAAGGACCCGGCCACUCCAAAAGGCAAAUCAACUAAUCGUUUCCCGGCCUCUUUGAAGAAAUUCUAGAGCUGCUCUCAUGUUGUCUAGAUGGGUCCAAUUAAUAUGAUCCAAGUUCUGCUUGCAAAUGAUUUUGCAAUUGCAUCAUUAGCUUGCUAAUUUUGCCGUUUGCAUUAGCAUAAGAGGGGCCUGACAAAACUGAAGUGGCCAGUACUCAGCUGUAAGCCUUUAUUUCCAAAUGAUAGCAUCCAGAAAACUGGGCUGCUGGAGGAUGAAAUCCAUGCUUUGGAUGAUGAAGCUGCUGCUGAGCUGAGAAUCAUGUCAUGUCCAGGGCAAAGUUCAAGAGAAUGUUGACUGGAUCGGUGCUUCAGCGUGUGUUGGAUGGAAAAGCCGCUUCUAUCCAGCACCGCUUUCCUUAUGCGAUGUUGCUUAAAAUUCAGUGUUCUAUUUUGUCAUCCAUGGUUAACCUUACCUUUUAUCUAUGAACAAGCAUUCUCAACAGUUAGUGCUCGGUUUGUAAUGAAUAUUAUGUUGCAUCGAAAUUGCUUGAUGUGUUCAACUUUUGUAGUAAUGCCUACCUCUGAAUAUUAUGUUGCAUCAAAACUGUUUUUUGC